GACAAUACUGUGCAAUUGAAUAUUUUUUGCUAUUGCGCAAAACUGUGCAAUUGAAAAUUUCUUGCUAUUGUGCAAUAUUGUGCAAUUAGUUAUUUCUUGCUAUUGCGCAAUACUGUGCACUUGAAGAUUUCUUGCUAUUGCAAAAUACUGUGCAAUUGAAGAUUUCUUGCUAUUGCGCAAUACUGUGCAAUUGAAAAUUUCUUGCUAUUGCACAAUACUGUGCAAUUGAAGAUUCCUUUCUAUUGCG
rnacentral:lncRNA from 1 species